rnacentral:rRNA from 1 species
UACGAAGGGGGCUAGCGUUGUUCGGAAUCACUGGGCGUAAAGGGUGCGUAGGCGGGCCUUUAAGUCAGGGGUGAAAUCCUGGAGCUCAACUCCAGAACUGCCUUUGAUACUGAGGAUCUUGAGUUCGGGAGAGGUGAGUGGAACUGCGAGUGUAGAGGUGAAAUUCGUAGAUAUUCGCAAGAACACCAGUGGCGAAGGCGGCUCACUGGCCCGAUACUGACGCUGAGGCACGAAGGCGUGGGGAGCAAACAGG